rnacentral:rRNA from 1 species
CAGCAUAUCAUAGCGGAGGAAAAGAAACCAACAGGGAUUGCCUCAGUAACGGCGAGUGAAGCGGCAACAGCUCAAAUUUGAAAUCUGGCCCUAGGCCCGAGUUGUAAUUUGCAGAGGAUGCUUUUGGUGCGGUGCCUUCCAAGUUCCCUAGAACGGGACGCCAGAGAGGGUGAGAGCCCCGUACAGUUGGACACCAAGCCUUUGUAAAGCUCCUUCGACGAGUCGAGUAGUUUGGGAAUGCUGCUCAAAAUGGGAGGUAUAUUUCUUCUAAAGCUAAAUACCGGCCAGAGACCGAUAGCGCACAAGUAGAGUGAUCGAAAGAUGAAAAGCACUUUGAAAAGAGGGUUAAACAGCACGUGAAAUUGUUAAAAGGGAAGCGCUUGUGACCAGACUUGCGUCCGGUGAAUCACCCAGCUCUCGCGGCUGGGGCACUUCGCCGGCUCAGGCCAGCAUCAGCUCGCUGUCGGGGACAAAAGCUUCGGGAACGUAGCUCUCUUCGGGGAGUGUUAUAGCCUGUUGCACAAUACCCUUCGGCGGGCUGAGGUACGCGCUCCGCAAGGAUGCUGGCAUAAUGGUCAUCAGCGACCCGUCUUGAAACACGGACCAAGGAGUCAACCUUAUGUGCGAGUGUUCGGGUGUCAAACCCCUACGCGUAAUGAAAGUGAACGCAGGUGAGAGCUUCGGCGCAUCAUCGACCGAUCCUGAUGUUCUCGGAUGGAUUUGAGUAAGAGCAUAUAGGGUUGGACCCGAAAGAAGGUGAACUAUGCGUGUAUAGGGUGAAGCCAGAGGAAACUCUGGUGGAGGCUCGCAGCGGUUCUGACGUGCAAAUCGAUCGUCAAAUAUGCGCAUGGGGGCGAAAGACUAAUCGAACCUUCUAGUAGCUGGUUUCCGC